AGCGAACGCUGGCGGCAGGCUUAACACAUGCAAGUCGAGGGGAGCGGCAGACGGGUGAGUAACGCGUGGGAACGUACCUUUUGGUUCGGAACAACACAGGGAAACUUGUGCUAAUACCGGAUACCGAAAGAUCGGCCCGAGUCGGAUUAGCUAGCUGGUGAGGUAAUGGCUCACCAAGGCGACGAGCAGUAGCUGGUCUGAGAGGAUGAUCAGCCACAUUGGGACUGAGACACGGCCCAAACUCCUACGGGAGGCAGCAGUGGGGAAUGUUGGACAAUGGGGGCAGCCCUGAUCCAGCCAGGCCGCGUGAGUGAUGAAGGCCCUAGGGUUGUAAAGCUCUGUUGUGCGGGAAGCGGUACCGAAAGAAUAAGCCCCGGCUAACUCCGUGCCAGCCGCCGCGGUAAUAC
rnacentral:rRNA from 1 species